rnacentral:rRNA from 1 species
AGUGAACGCUGGCGGUAGGCCUAACACAUGCAAGUCGAACGGCAGCACAGAGGAGCUUGCUCCUUGGGUGGCGAGUGGCGGACGGGUGAGGAAUACAUCGGAAUCUACUCUGUCGUGGGGGAUAACGUAGGGAAACUUACGCUAAUACCGCAUACGACCUACGGGUGAAAGCAGGGGAUCUUCGGACCUUGCGCGAUUGAAUGAGCCGAUGUCGGAUUAGCUAGUUGGCGGGGUAAAGGCCCACCAAGGCGACGAUCCGUAGCUGGUCUGAGAGGAUGAUCAGCCACACUGGAACUGAGACACGGUCCAGACUCCUACGGGAGGCAGCAGUGGGGAAUAUUGGACAAUGGGCGCAAGCCUGAUCCAGCCAUACCGCGUGGGUGAAGAAGGCCUUCGGGUUGUAAAGCCCUUUUGUUGGGAAAGAAAUCCAGCCGGCUAAUACCUGGUUGGGAUGACGGUACCCAAAGAAUAAGCACCGGCUAACUUCGUGCCAGCAGCCGCGGUAAUACGAAGGGUGCAAGCGUUACUCGGAAUUACUGGGCGUAAAGCGUGCGUAGGUGGUUAUUUAAGUCCGUUGUGAAAGCCCUGGGCUCAACCUGGGAACUGCGGUGGAUACUGGAUGACUAGAAUGUGGUAGAGGGUAGCGGGAAUUCCUGGUGUAGCAGUGAAAUGCGUAGAGAUCAGGAGGAACAUCCAUGGGCGAAGGCAGCUACCUGGACCAACAUUGACACUGAGGCACGAACGCGUGGGGAGCAAACAGG